UAGGGCAUCGAACGUACUCAGAGGGUUCGAUUCUGGCUCAGAUUGAACUGGCGGGAUGUCUUACCAUGCAAGUCGAACGGCACAGCGCGGACUUCGGUCGACAGCGGUGGCGAACGGGAAUUAUGAUAAUGUAUCGAACGUACCUAGUAGCCAGCGGGGGAUAUCGCUACCACUGGCCAUAGCUAAUGCCACAUACGCCCUUCGAGGAAAGCAGGGGACCUUCGGGGCCUCGCGCAUAUUAGAGCGGCCGAUAUCGAUUAGCUAGUUGGUGGGAGUAACGGCUCACCAAGGCGACGAUCCGUAACUGGUUUGAGGAAAGGACGACCAGCCACUGGGACUGAAGACACAUGGCCCAGACUCUUACUGGAGGCAGCAGUAGUGGGGGAAUUUUGGACAAUGGAAACCUGAUCCAGCCCAUCCCGGUAUUACGGUCGAAGGCCUUCAGUUUGUAAAGCACUUUUUGUAGAAAGAAACGGCACGGGAUAUUACCCCGUGCAACUGACGGUACCUGCAGAAUAGCACCGGCUAACUACGUGCCAGCAGCACCAGUAAUACGUAGGGUCAAACGCGAUCAAUCGGAAUUACUGGGCGUAAAGUGAGCGGUUUCGGGAAAGAAAAGAUGUGAAAUCCCAGAGCUGCUGGGCUGCAUUUUUAACUGCAGCGAGCUAGGUGUCAGAGGUGGAAUUCCGCGUGUAGCGAUGAAAUCGUAAGGCUCUAUGCGGAGGAACACCGAUGGCGAAGGCAGCUCCACCAAGGAUAGCUUACUGACGCUCAUGCACUGGCGUCUGAGCAAGCAAGUUAGAUACCCUGGUGAUCCGCACGCCUAAACGAUGUCAACUAAUGUAUUUGGGGCCUUCGGGCCUUGGCAGCAAUAUAGCGUGAAGUUGACCGCCGAUUACACGAUGCCAAGAUUAAAACUCAAAGGAAUUGACGGGGGACCCGCACAAGCGGUGGAUGAUGUGGAUUAGUUAAAGUGCGGCACCGAAAAACCUUACCUACCCUUGACAUGUCUGGAGGUAUCCGAAGAGAUUUGGGAGAUAUAUGAAGAACCGGAACACAGGUGCUGCAUGGCUGUCGUCAGCUCGUGUCGAGAUCUUGGGUUAAGUCCACCAACAAGCGCUAACCCUUUGUCGUCGUUGCUACGAAGGCCACUCUCUGUGAGACUGCCGUGAGCAAACCGGAGGAAGGUGAGACAGCGUCAAGUCCUCAUAGCCCUUAUGGUGAGGCUUCACACGUCAUACAAUGGUCGGGACAGAGGGUCGCCAACCCGCGGGGAGCUGUCCGAAAGCCCGAUCAUGAGUCGGAUCAGUCUGCAACUCGACUGCCAUUGAUCAGAAUCGCUAGUAAUCGCGGAUCCAGCAUGUCGCGGUGAAUACGUUCCCGGGUCUUGUACACACCGCCCGUCACACCAUGGGAGUGGGUUUUACCAGAAGUAGUUAGCCUAACCGUAAGGGCGAUUACAGUAGGAUUCGCGGCUGGGGGUGAAGUCGUAACAGAGUAA
rnacentral:rRNA from 1 species